AUCAGACUGCGCUGAUCCUCUAUCUCUUCCUCCAUCUUAACGUUGAUUUCUUUCCACUCUGUGAAUGUUUCUCCAGCAGGAGUUACCUGCUCGUUGAUAAACUCUCUCUGAGGCGGAACUGAAGACAUUUUCACUGAAAACACCAAACCUGUUUUCAAACCGUCUUCUCACAAAAGAAAAGCCAAGGCUGUCCCGCGUGCUCUGUUUUUAUAGUUCGUGUGUUUCACUCUGGCUGUACUGAAGAAACAGGAAAUGAUUUUUGGUUCCGCUUUGAAUUUUCUGCUGUGCUUCUUGUCUUUGUAAAAGAAAUUACAAACUUUAUUGAUAGGUUUAUUGUUAGUGGAAAUUUAGAAAAUAGUUUAUUUUAGUUAUAUGUGUAAACUGGGGUUGUGACUCUUAUUGUAUGUUGGUAAAACAUAACGCUUGCAUACUGCUUGCUUGAUAAUUCAAGACCAAGUAUACGUAGGGAGGGAAUGUUUAGUGAGAAUAGAUCAGUCUGGAAAAAACACUGAUGAUGUUGUUGCAAUAACUAAUAAAAUGCUGCUUGAGUGAAAAUGA